AGUUUUAUUCUAAUGUGGCAAACGGCUGUAGGAGUGAAAUUAAACUUUGCAGCUUAUUUAUUUUUUUUUUAAAUCUUUGUGUGUUUCUGUUCUCAGGUCAGCUCUGCUGCCAAAAGCGAGAAGACACAAACGUUUCCUGUGGAGGAUGACAUGGACAUAACUCGCUCUCACACAGUCUACGCUUCCAGCAGUUCUUCAGCAAAAAUUCUAACUGGCUCUUCUGACCCAUCACCGAUUAACCAUCAGUCCAAAUCCAGUGACCCGAGCUUGUGUACGAGUGAAGGAAGCUGGUCAGGGAAACAAAGCUCCGCAGAGCCUGGCGGAGUCGAUCCUGAGGGGGACAUCAGCAUGGAGAUGACUGAGGUUCAAACGGGACGCAUUGAAGGACUCUCCGACUCACAAGGUCCUUUUCAGUUCCUCAUUCCAUCCCAAGAGGAAGUUUUCCCGCUCAGCAGAAGUCAGGAUAGAGCCGACGCGGCUUCAGGACAGGAGAACAUCAAAGGAUCGUCCAGCCAUCGAGGUGUGGAAACUUCAUUAAAACCUUCCAUAAAGUCCUCACAGAGAUGUCAGAGCAGGGUUGGUUUGGACGAUGGAGAAAAGACUUUUCAGUUUGCCGCAGAUGAUGACUGCAUGGACAUCACACAGAGCUACACUGCAAACAUCAGCAGCAGCGAGUCGCAACAGUUGUUCUCAGACAUAGACUUGAGAGGACAUGAAGAUAAAACUGUGAGGUUUACUCUGACGGAUCUUGCGAUGGAAGAGACCAAGAGUCGCACUGUUUCCUCUGGUUUUCAACAAACAAUCCUCCAAAACUCUGAGGCGUUAUCCUCUAACAAAGAUAAAACCAUGAGGUUUAUUUCCAACGAUCCAGUGAUGGACCUCACAAAAAGUCAUACUGUCAACAGUUCCUCAGGUUUUCAAAAACCAAUCGUCCAAGACACUGAGGCGGUACCCUCUAACAAAGAUAGAACCGUUAGGUUCACUGCCAACGAUGCAAUGAUGGACAUAACAAAGAGUCAUACCGUCAACAUUUCCUCUGGUUAUCAGCCAAUAUGCUUAAAAAACAGUGAGGCGUUACCCUCUAAUGGAGAGAAAACCACAAGGUUCACUAACAAUGAUGCAGCGAUGGAUGUGACUAAGAGUCACACCGUCAACAUUUCCUCAGGUUUUCAAAAAACAAUUGUCCAAGACACAGAGAUGUUACCCUCUAAUAAAGAUAGAACCGUUAGGUUCAGUGCCAACGAUGCAGUGAUGGACAUAACGAAGAGUCAUACCGUCAACAUUUCCUCUGGUUUUCAAUCAACGUUCCUUCAAGAUACUAAGGUGUUGCCCUCUAAUGGAGAGAAAACUGUAAGGUUCACUGCCAACGAUGCAGUGAUGGACAUAACGAAGAGUCAUACCGUCAACAUUUCCUCUGGUUAUCAACCAACAUGCUUAGAAAGCACUGAGGCAUUACCCUCUAAUGGAGAGAAAACCACAAGGUUCACUAACAAUGAUGCAGCAAUGGACGUGACCAAGAGUCACACGGUCAACAUUUCUUCUGGAUUUCAACCAACAUGCCUUAAAAACACUGAGGCGUUCGUCUCUAACGGAGAGAAAACCACAAGGUUCACUACCAAUGAUGCAGCGAUGGAUGUGACCAAGAGUCACACUGUCAACAUUUCUUCUGGAUUUCAACCAACAUGCCUUAAAAACACUGAGGCGUUACCCUCUAACGGAGAGAAAACCACAAGAUUCACUACCAAUGAUGCAGCGAUGGACGUAACCAAGAGUCACACCGUCAACAUUGAUGCAGAUCUAAGGCUCAUUCAGUUACAGAGUGUGGAGUCAUUCCCCACAAACACAGACAAACCCAGAUGUACGAUGUAA
ensembl:lncRNA